AACAAAAACAGUUUUUGUUGUUGUAUGUACAUCAAAGUUUAGAAGAUGCGUACCAGUAAUAACGUCCAAUUCAAGGACGUUACUAACAAGAGGACCGUUUCGAAACACUUGACCACCAAUUCCACCAUUCGACAACGUUCCUCCGACGGUUAUAUGCAAAUAAUCCGUCCAAGAAACCGGCGACACCCCUUUCUCCGCCGUCUUCUUAAGCACAUCCACCCAUAACGUCCCGGCCGCCACGUCAGCGUACUUCUUGUCUUUUGAAACCACCACGUCAGUGAUACACGUCAUGUUGACGAUUACUCCGCCGGAGACCGAGGCUUGGCCGUUUAAGGAGUGGCCUUGGCCACGAGCCGCUACUUGGAAUGUACUUUUUCCGUUUGCGGCGUAUUGGAGGAGACGAGAGAUAUCAGCGGUGGAGGAGGGGCAGAUUACGCCGCCGGGGGUCACGGUGGUUAUGUUUCCGAAGUCAUGAGAGGCUGCGGAGAUGAUGGAAGGAUCGGUAGAGAGGGUGAGGUUAAGGGAUUUAGAUAUUGGUUGAGGAAUGCUCUGAGUGUUCAGAGAACCGUAUAGGACUUAAUCGCAGCGGGUGGAGCUGGAUGCGUCUUUAAGAUAACGAAUUAGUUUCUGGUUCUUGUGAUCAGUUGUGUUUAAUGUAUAUUCAUGGGUGAUAGAUUUAAUCACUCAUAAUCUUAUGUUACAAUCCUUUGUGCUAUUUUAGUUAUGUUCAUUAGAGUAUUUAUGAUAAGAACUCACUAGCUGCGAGGAGGAGAUGGAACUUGCCAGAGAACCACUCAGAUUCAAGAGGAGGACAACAAAGAUGAAUGGACAUGGGUUUGGUACUUAUUUGGAAGAAUACUCCUACUAGGUUACUGUUUGAGAUGAUGGAUAAGCUUCUGAAUGAGAGAAUGACGAAGAGGAGUGGAUGUGUCAUGUAAACCAAAUACUGAGCUACUAAGAACUGAUUUCAAGAAUUUGUUUAGAUUUUGAUUUGGAAUCAUAGCAAAACCAUAUGUGAUACGUUUUGGAUCAGAAAAAAAAAACGAUCCAAGGCAGCCAAUUGUUGCGGGCAGGCCCGUCUGCCAUCUUUAGAUAAUUAGAUGUAACUAAA
rnacentral:misc_RNA from 1 species